GAAAUGCGAUAAGUAAUGUGAAUUGCAGAAUUCAGUGAAUCAUCGAAUCUUUGAACGCACAUUGCGCCCCCCGGUAUUCCGAGGGGCAUGCCUGUUCGAGCGUCAUUAUAGCCUAUCCAGCCCUGCUGGGUCCUGGGCCUGCCGGCUGGCGGGCCCCAAAGCUAGUGGCGGUGCGACCAGGUGCCGGAGCGUAGUACAACCCCUCGCUACCGGCCCUGGGCGGCGCCCGCCAGCGACCCCUCUCACGGUUGACCUCGGAUCAGGUAGGGAUACCCGCUGAACUUAA
rnacentral:misc_RNA from 1 species